GUGGGGAAUCUUAGACAAUGGGCGCAAGCCUGAUCUAGCCAUGCCGCGUGAUCGAUGAAGGCCUUAGGGUUGUAAAGAUCUUUCAGUGGGGAAGAUAAUGACUGUACCCACAGAAGAAGCCCCGGCUAACUUCGUGCCAGCAGCCGCGGUAAUACGAAGGGUGCAAGCGUUAAUCGGAAUUACUGGGCGUAAAGUGCGCGUAGGUGGUUUUGUAAGUUGGAGGUGAAAUCCCCGGGCUCAACCUGGGAACUGCCUCCAAAACUGCAUGACUAGAGUACGGUAGAGGGUAGUGGAAUUUCCUGUGUAGAGGUGAAAUUCGUAGAUAUUCGGAAGAACACCAGUGGCGAAGGCGACUCACUGGCCCGUUACUGACGCUGAGGCGCGAAAGCGUGGGGAGCAAACAGGAUUAGAAACCCCUGUAGUCC
rnacentral:rRNA from 1 species